GACGAACGCUGGCGGCGUGCCUAACACAUGCAAGUCGAACGAGGUCCAUCCUUCGGGAGAAGACCUAGUGGCGAACGGGUGAGUAACACGUGAAGAACCUGCCCCGAAGACCGGGAUAACCCUCCGAAAGGAGAGCUAAUACCGGAUACCCCCACCGAACCGCAUGGUUUGGUGAGGAAAUGGAUUCCGCUUCGGGAGGGCUUCGCGGCCUAUCAGCUAGUUGGUGGGGUAACGGCCCACCAAGGCAUCGACGGGUAGCUGGUCUGAGAGGACGAUCAGCCACACUGGGACUGAGACACGGCCCAGACUCCUACGGGAGGCAGCAGUGGGGAAUCUUGCGCAAUGGGCGAAAGCCUGAUGCAGCAACGCCGCGUGUGCGAUGAAGGCCUUCGGUCGUAAAGCACUUUCUGAGGGAUGAGCAAGGACAGUACUUCAGGAAGAAGCACCGGCUAACUACGUGCCAGCAGCCGCGGUAAU
rnacentral:rRNA from 1 species